AAUGAACGCUGGCGGCGUGCUUAACACAUGCAAGUCGAACGAGAAAGAGCUUCGGCUCAAGUACAGUGGCGAACGGGUGAGUAACACGUAGGAAUCAACCCUUUAGUGGAGGAUACCCUGGAGAAAUCCAGAACAAUCCUGCAUAAGUCCCUUCGGGGAGAAAGAUGGCUUUAUGCUGUCGCUAAAGGACGAGCCUGCGGACUAUCAGCUAGUUGGUAGGGUAAAGGCCUACCAAGGCUAUGACGGUUAGCCGGCCUGAGAGGGUGUACGGCCACACUGGAACUUAGACACGGUCCAGACUCCUACGGGAGGCAGCAGUGGGGAAUCUUGCGCAAUGGGCGAAAGCCUGACGCAGCGACGCCGCGUGGAGGAUGAAGGUCUUCGGAUUGUAAACUUCUGUUAGGUGGGAAGAAAUGCGUAGUCAUAAUACGGCUACGAGAUGACUGUACCAUCAGAGAAAGCACUGGCUAACUUCGUGCCAGCAGCCGCAGUAAAAC
rnacentral:rRNA from 1 species